GUGGCGGUCCGUGGAACCCCGCAAAGCCCUUGUCCCGCGAAGGCGGCGCCCACGCGUGUCUGCGUGCCAGGCGGCCUGCCCGGCGCGGGGAGCUGGCUGUGCCGGGGGCUUGCUUGCCUGCCCGCCCACCCCUGCCGGCCUGCCCGCCCUGGCCUGCCCGCCCCUGCAUGCCCACCUGCCCCUGCCCGCCUGCUCCUGCUUGCCCGGCCUUGCCGCCCGCCCCUGCCUGCCUCCGGGGGGUGGUGUGCGUGCAGCCCUCGGGGGUGCGAGCCUGAGCCUCGGUGUGGAGCGUGUGCCGGGGGCGCAGCCCGGGAAACGCCCCGCUGGAGGAGACGCUCCUUUCCCGCCCCGCUCACACCCGCCAUUCCCGACUUUCCCCCGUGGCACGCCGUGUGCCACGCCGCGCUCCCCUGUGGGGACUCGGGACGGCGGGGCUGGUCCCGGCACCGUUGCCAGCGCCCGCCGUGUGCCUUGCCCCGCACCGCCGGGAGGAGCUUCCAGAAAUGUAAUUUUCCCAUGUUACGUCAGUCGCUGAGUUGAGAACUGGGUUUUUUGGGGGGCCGGGACACCCCACUGACCAGGCGGCUGGAGGUGCGGCCCCUGCAGCGCUCCGCGGAGCGGCUCCUGGGCGGGGCAUGCACAGCCGCUGCGGUAACGAUUGUGCAAAUAAAAAAGUGUCUGCAGGCCCGUUCCCUAAGGUACUGUUUCCAAAUUGCUUUUUUUUAUUCCCUCCGUUUGUGAGUUAGCUCACAAAUCAUAGCCAUUCUUCUGAAAUUUUAAGUUGUAACACUCAUGUUAAAAAAAAAAAAAAAAAGAAAAGGUGAAGUCAGGCUUCAGCAGUGUGUAUAUGGUAUUACCUAGGGUACUUAACACUCGAUUUGAGCUGUUGUUGUUUCUGCUCUGUUGAAAACAAAUUUCAAAAAGUAUCUUGAUUUUCUGUAUUGACAAAGUAGAGGUUUCACCCGCUUGGCGUGCUAAUGUUGUGUGAGGACUUUGUUAACGUCUGCUGCGUUGAAAAUUUCUAAACUGCAUCCAAUGUAGACAGCACUCUUCACAGAGGAAGAAUGAGUCGGUUUCUACAGACUAUGGGCUCUUUGGGGUGAGGGGGGCACCUCUGGUGUUUGCAGAGUGCCUGGAAAGAAUAUGGUCUUACGUACUGUUUUCCUUUGGCCCCUCCCAAUCACAUAAUGAGAAAGUUGUAAAUAUGUAAACAGAAAUACAUGUUAUCUUGGAAACAUGUAAGUGCCAUGCAUAAUUUUAUCUGUACCACUCAAGCUGGAGAUGUCAGCAAUUGUGGAGAGCUCUCUCCUUGGAGAUAUGGACUGAUGAUGGUGCAAAGAGAACUCAAUUAAAUGACUUGCUAUAGAAGAGCCAUCAGCAGCACCGUAUCUUUCCACUGAAGAAAAUGGAAAUGCAAUAAGCACAGAAACGAUGCUGUAACUGUCACUAUGUCUGAAUUGUUCUACAGCCAGUGCCAUUGUUGGGUGAGGGACCAGCUGGAAAAGUCGAUGACAGCCUCUGCUCUAGAUGACCUGCUGUCCUUUCCAGCGCUGUUCUGGAAUGGAUCGCCAAGAUAUCAAAUCCCGUGCUUUGAGAAAGGAAUAUAGAAGGGGAUCAUGGAUUCAUCAUCAUUCAUCAUGCACUUCGAUGUGCAUGUGUGUGCCUGCACUGCAAAUGAGGCUGCAGAUAAAUUCAUUUGUCUGCUUGCAGUGAGCUGUGAUUAGACAUCUGACUAGCUGGAAAGUGACUAUUCAUUACACUGCAACACUACAGAGCUAGAUUAACUUUUUUUGAGGCUUUUCAAAGGCACCAUUUGCACUUUCUGGCAUCCACUGAAUAAUAAUAAUAAUAAUAUAACCAAAUAGCUUCUUAGUAUUUUGUAAUGCAAUACCAAAUACGAGCCCAUCACAUUGACUGGGAGGCCACUGGGUUAGGUCCUGUACAAACACCGUAUGUUUUGGGUCCAUACAAAAGGUCUUGCAGUCUAGGUGAGCAAGACUGAGCCACAGAGGGCUUUUUUUUGAGGUUGUCAACUUCCCCCAUAACUCUACACCUUUAGGGACUUGCCAUAUAACUCUGCCCCAGAACGUAAGCAGCAUUUGAGACAAAAAGUCUCAUUUCUGCUUUACAGUAGAUGUCUUUAUUUCUCCACUCCCAGUGCAGGUAGCUUCCUAAAGGCAGAUUUGUCUGUCAUGGGUGGUGUGCCCCAGGGUAAGCACCAUCUGGCAGCACAGAGGCAGUGGAGAAACACUGGUGUCAGCCUCUGGCUGGCUGAUGGCACACAAGGAUGGCCACUGUUUGUGCCCAUAUUUGACUGCUGUCUUCAUCCCUCAGGUCUGCUAAGAUCAAAUUCAUCAUCAAAAAAUACCGGACUGUUAGGUGCCUGAUCCAAAACCUGGAAGUGUAGAGGACAUCUUAAUGAGAUCAUCAGCUCCUUUGAAUCACUGGGUAUGUUCUUCAGCCAUAGAACUGACUGUUCAGUCCUUGAAAUGACACAGGUAACCUUCUAAGCCUGCACUGUAUAUAACAGAUACAAAUAUGUAUUCCCCUGCCUGCAAACAUCUUGGAGCAGGGAUUUUUCUAAGACAAAGUCCUUAACAAUGUUCAAUUGGAGGGGUAUUUUCCCCUGUAACUAUAUCAAAUUCUUACCUUCUAGGCUGGAAUAUGCUGUUCUCAUAUGAAUAGUCAGUUUUUCUUGGAAAUAUAAACAAAAACAGUGUAUGCACUUUUAGAAGAAUCAAAUAAAAUUGUAUUUCUGCUGCUACUGUAGGGAAAACACUUGAGCAUUCUUGCUUACCAGCUUUAACACCAAAGCCUAGAAAGUCAGAAAAUGUACAUCUAGCAUAGGAGUAUCUUUAAAACUCCAGUAAACUCUUUCAAUGCUCCGAUAUUGAAAUAUCUCAGAUAAAUUUCUAUUUUGAUCAGUAGAGCUAUCAUAUUAAAAAAUUUCUGUGUAUAUGUGAAACAAAACUGUUAGGGACUAUUAUUUAAUUCUGAUUUCGUAGUGGUGUUUGUUUGUAUAGAUAGAUUGAAUGAGUUUUGAAUCAUACUAAAAAUCAAUACAGGGAAGUUGUGGCUUGGUUUUUGGAAGGUUUUGGUUUUGUAAAAAUUUGUGUCUGUGUGUGAAUGAUUGAAGGGAUAUAGAAAGCAAGUCAGGCUUCCUAACAGAAGGGAAGCUGGAGAGUGUAGCUACAGUACUUUAAAUGAAACCUUGAGUUUAAUAAAAUAUGCUUAUCCUCAGAGCUGACCCUUUACCAUUUCUUCAGCUGCGAAGGACGUAUGCUGCAACACUAGGUCCUUGACACCAUCCAGAGGUUUUCUGAUGUCACAAAGACCUUCAGAAAAACAAGUUUUUAAUGUUUCUAUUUCAGUUUUAAUGUUGCAUGUCUACCUCGUUUACUGUACCAUUUCAUUAGCCUUUUCCAUUUAUUUAAACUACCUAUUGUUUCUUGUCUUAAACUAUAAAUGUCUAAGGGCAGUGGAUGUCUUUCUGUGCUGUAUGUACCAGUCCCAAAAGAGUUGUGACUCAUCAUCUAUAACUAGGCACCCAAAGUACUAUAAAAUACCUUUGUGGAAGAUUUGCUGUGACUCAGAUAGAAGAUACCUGGUUGUUACAGAACCUGCUGUCAGAGGGACUGCUGUACUGCAUUAUGGUAAUGACUCCUUCCAUCCUGACAAAUAGUAAAAGGAUAAUCAAAACUAAUCUGCUGCCAACUUUAGGAUUUUAAUAAUAAGCUUGAAAACCAGGAGGAAAACUUUUACAGAUGCUGUAAUUUCUCCUGGAGGAGAAGAACUUACCAUGCUGUGCUUGAAUUUCUGUUGUUUAGUACAGGCAUGAAACUUUCUGACAGAGCAAGGUAUAGGCCUGGAAAGAGAUCCCUUAAAAAAUUGUUCUUGGGGAAGCUGUGUUUUGUAGACCACUCUAGACAUACCUUUUUGAACCUUUUUUAAAAUUUUGACUAUGCUCGGGAAGAAUUUGGUAUGUACACAAAUGACAGAGAAAGGAGGGUCAGCAGGAAACAGCAUACUGAGGAGCAAGCAGAUACAUCAGAAGUUACUUUCUGCAUCUCCUGGGAGCUACAAAAUCAAACGUGCUUUUGAAGUUUAGAGGGGAAGAUCCUCAACCCUUUUCUGUCAUGGGCCGGGAGCUGAGGACAGCUGCAGCAGCAGCAGAGAAAUGUGGUGAGAGCCUGCCAGGAAGGGCCAGACUUUUCAUGGGACCAAGAGCCAGCAAGCUGCCAGAUGGCACCUACAGCUGCUGUUAAGGAACCUUGGUGGUGCCAGGUGUAUUCAUGCCUCCAAGAUGACUAAAGGCACAGUGACCUUAAAAGAAUUGCUUGUUUCAUGGAGUUUCUCCCCCAUCCAUUUAUGAUUAAAAAUUUACAAAACUCAUUCAAGUAGGAAGUUGUUGACUUCAGUGUUUAAGAUGCCACAAGUCGACUAAGUGAUUGCUUGAAUAUGACGGGAUGUAAACAGGCUUUACUCCACUGAUUAAUUCUCUUUGAAGAAGAAUGGUAAUUAGGCUUAAAUUUUAUUCACAGGUGUCAGAGAUAAGAGGAAUGAAUACAUCUUCAUUAUCUUUGUUAUAAUAGGUCAAGUAGCAAAAUCUAGAAGAAGUUCAAAGUUCAGUAUCUAUACGUUUUUUUCACUGAUCCUAAUGGGAAUGGGUUCCUCAUUCUUAAUUUUGUCAUUGCUAAUGUCUUACUCUUUAGUGAGACUUCACAUGUCACAUAAUUUUACUCCAUGCCAUCACUGCGAUAGGGGUGCUGUUCAUUCCUGUCCCUCGGGGACCAUGCUAGCUGUGCAGCUGCAACAUAAGCUUGAGCGCAGUCCCAUGACAUAUGCUAAUCUGAUAAAUCACUGCAUUUGGCAGUGGUUUAAACUAACACCCUUGCACCAAAGCAGGGUCUAAACACGAAGACAGUAAGACACAGAGCUCAGGGAGCCCUUUUUGCCACCGCUGAGCUGCCAACUGCCUGUGCGAGGGACUGCCUCCUGCUGAGGUCUUUGCACUCUCACAGUCAGAACUGCAGGCUUGGUUUCACAGAUGGAGCUCUAAUUUUAACCUCUUUUUGUACAACUUUAUUGCAGCUUAACUACAGCUUACACACAUACAGUGUAUGUUAGGUCUCAGCCUUGCAAAUGUGUUUGUACCAGACCAUACUGACUGCUCGUACGGCCGUACCCUUGGCAGAUUCGAAUAACCAACUGUGUCACGGGGCUGCUAGAGCUGUUCAGACAUUUCAGUGAAUGUGCCCUACUUAUUACUAUUUUGCUUCAGCAGUCCCAGAGAAAUCAUUGUGUGUCCAGGGAGGAAUAUUAAAUAGCCUUUACCAAAUAGAAAAUUGAAUCAAUGUAGUCCAUAGUUAAUUAAAACUUUUUCAUUUGUUCAGUGUGUGGUAUUGCGUAUCAAAUUAUCUUUAUUUUAUCAGCAUAAGAACAAAUUCUGGAGAAGGCAUAUGUACCAUGAAGUGCUUUGGUAUAGGACACAAAAUAUGACAUGAAUGUGAAUAACAGGUUUAUCAUCUGUACAUUCUUUUUCAUAGAUAAUUUCAUUUUUUCUCUUCCCAGGAGACUUUGGAAGGGGUGGUUCCUUAAAUAUUGAACAUCCCUUCCAUAAAUAGCCACAAAUAAGUAUGAAAAUGCAGUGCUGAGACCACAAGAACUGGCUUUGGAUUCUGAAUUCAGCUUGUGCACACACUGAGAGUUUACAUUUUUGUAUGGCUCCUAGACGGGCCUGUGCUGAAAGGUAAGAUUUAGAUUGCUUUAAAUAUAAAUGUGUUGCACUUUUCUGUGCAUUUUAUAUCAGAUUUUGGAACAGUUAGUACCUUUAGGUUUUGGAAAUGCCAACUGAUCUGAAAGAAAAAGAUAAGAUUUUAAGACUAGAUGUUUAAAUUGUGAAAGUAUUAAGCAUGAAUAAAUUCAUACCUGUAAACUGAAUGUAGUUAAAUUAUUCCAGUUGCAAGUGAAUUCAACUAUUCAUACAAGCUAAACACCAGAAGAACAACUAUCCAACAUUUCAUAACUCAAAUUUUAAAAUUCCUGAAGUUCUUUCUAACUUAACUUUCAAAGCCCCCAUUUUUUUUAUACCUAAUUUAGAUAGUAAUCUGUUUUUCAAAGUGACUGUGUCCUCUUCAGGCUCAUCUACACAACAGAAAGAAUACAUGACUGUUACACAUGAUAAUUUAUCCACACCAGCCUCACAGGACAAGCUCUGGUAACAGUAACAGUCCUUGCAGCAGCACAGUCUUAGUGUGUGCUAUCAGAAAAUAAACUCUCCAGGGACCCUUAGUUAAAUUAGAAGCAAUACACUAGGACGUGAUACAGCCACACUACCCUAGACAGACAAAUCUUUACUUUCUCGUCAAAAUCACCAAGAAGGUUAGAAGCACAAAUCUUUAUUGACUGCCAGUAAAAUUUGUUAUACUAACUCAAUGAGGGACUUCAUAAGUCUUCCUCAAACUUAUCUUUACAGGUUAUACAUAUCAUAAAUAUUGUUCUUCUGUCCAUCAAUCAAUCAAUCAAUCAACAAAUGGGGUUGUUUGAGCUAAUGGUGACCUAAUGGUAUAGUAGUGGUUCUCUCUGGAAGAAUAAAGCAUGCUGCGGCUUUGUAAAAAAUAAUGGUUCCUCUCCUGCUCUGAAUUUGGUAACUAGAUAGUACAUACUACAUGAUACCAUGCUGUAAGAAAAUACCAUUAACUACCUCUGUGUUAAUCGAGGUGGUUGUUAUCAAGAAUCAUCUGCAAUCAUCUCUCUUGCUACAUUUCAUUCUGCUGUUAUGAGAACCAGCAAAUAAGUGUGUGACAUUCUGACAGUGGCCCACCUGUUAAUGGGGAUUUCUGGUGUUAAACAUUAUAGUUCAUAGCCAUUAUUUUUUCAUUUAUGGAGAGCUUGGAUUUGUAUGUAUGUGUAAUGUAUUAACUUUAGAAUAACUUCUCUAAGUCAGCCUGGUAUGCCUUCUUUUAUGUACACACUCUUUAUGGCCCUGAGUUCUGUUCUGCACUGAUUCACGAUAUAGUAAUAAUUUGUUAAUUUCUUUUCCUUCUGAAGACUUACAACAGCUCUCAAAGCCUGACAUGAAAACAUACAUUUUAAAAACACUCAAUAAUUACUGAUUUAAGGUCCAGACAGGCUGAGUGGCAUUUCUGUAGGAAUCCUCUAUUGCAAAGGAAUUCUAAUGUAUAAACUCCUCAAAUGACAAAAGUAGUAUAUUGGUUCUUAAAAAAUAUCUUGAGGUAUAAUGCAUAGGCUGCAGACAUGCAGAAUAAUCCUUAGAGGAGCUAGCAAGUAACAUUUUACACUACACGCCUAAAUGAGAUAGGAUUUCACAUUCCAUUUCAGAACUGAUUUAAGAGCUGAUGGUUUUGUCCAGAACAUGCAGAAAAAUCAAUCUGAAUUAACUUUUAAAAUGGAUUGGCUAAACCACAUUAAAUUUCUGUGUAGCCAGCUCUCAUUUAAAAUGCAUUCAUUUACAUUGGAAGUAAAUGUAGCUAAACUGAAUUAGGGCCACUUUAAUUUUGAAUGAGAAUGUGCACAUAAUGCACUUGAAGUAAUCACAACUUUAAAUUCACACCUUUACUUAAUUUGAUUUAGUUUUACUGAGUGUUCACAGAUGUAUAAACUCUAAAUCUCACUGAAGUCAACAAACAUUUCUUCAGAUGUGCAUUCUUACAUGUUCAGACAAAACAGAGCAAGCAACACAACCUAAAGGAGCAUGUCCUGACAGCCAAUGAUGCUGUGGACGCAGGAUGAAGGUAGAGUUUCCUAUCUAGAAAAAGCUAUGGUGAAAGCAACUGUCUCCUGACUGGUAUCAUCCAGUACCUGAACACUGAAAACAUUUAAAACCACCUACUGUCAACAUUUCAUUAUAACUGCGAUAGCCAAAUUUUUGGUAGGUAAAUAAUGUUAUCAAAAGCCAAAUUUUUGGUAGGUAAAUAAUGUUAUCAAAAUUGACCGCAGUGGGUUGCUACUACUUGACAGGCAACAUCACCUGUGACAACCAAGAGGCAUUUAAUAAACUGUGGGUGUUGAUUACAAAUGCUUUCCCUGCAAACUGCAAAUCUUAAUGACCUGGUUUGCUUGAUACCUGUGGCCACCCACUGCUGGGUAUGCUUGCACUAUGUACAGCUUGCUGCUUCUUCAAGGAGCUGCAAAUGGAAGAAGCUGAAAAAGCAUUUAUUUAAGCUAUUGAAAAAGCUGUGGGAGAUGUGAAGGAAGAGGACAGGGAUAAUACGACCUCUACGAAUCUCUUUACUCUUAUGGCUCAGAUUAAAAUUUACGUGGAAAUAAUCAAUGUGCCAGAUGAACUACAGGAUUUCUUCUCAGAAUGUCUGUUCAAAGGUUAAAAAGUGCAAUGGCUGCGUGACUGAGAAAUGGCAAGGUAUGAACAUGAAGUGAAUCACCUGGUACUAGCUGCAUAUGGAUGAGCAGGCUGUACUAAGAAGUGAGAGAAACGGGUCAUCUGGCCAUCAGAACUUGGCUGAUUGAAAUUUGCAGGUAAAGCAAAAAUGCUGUGAGACUGUAAAUGUCAGAAUUUAAAAAUCGGAACAGAAUAGCUUGCAGUGAAUUUAUCUGUGGUAUUUCAAUAAAAUACCUUAAUAAUAAUAAUUUCAAUAAAAUAUCUAAAUACCUUUCAAUAAUAAUAAUAUUGCAUUGCAAAUGCUGCUAUUGCAGAUUCUUUGAAAAGAAGUUGAAGGUAUAAGCCAAUCUGAUCAACAAAAUUUUGAGCAGAGCUAAUGUGCUCCGUUUCUGCAUCAUCUUACUUUUAUAUGUGGUCAUUUUUAAAAGUUGCAUUGAAAUAGUCAGGCUAUUUUUCUUUUCCCACAGAGACAUCAGAUUUAUAGUGAAGGCAGAUUUUUUUCACUGUAUUAGCUUCUGUCUUUAUCUUAGUAUUAAAACCAAAUCCUGAAGUUUCACAUUUUUAAUGCAUAGAAGCCACCUGACAAUUUCAACUUAACGUGAAACUGCACACCUGCAGUUAAAUUUGUAGCAGAUUCCCAUAAAAAUAAGGUACAACAUUCUAAAUCUACAUUUAGACAUAUUGGCCUUCUUUUAGAAGAGCAACAUUAUUAUAUUUUUUAGAAAAACCAAACUGUUUGGUAUUCAUGGACCUAUAGAUGACUUGUAAGUACAUCAAGCUUGCUCAUACAGCUAAGUUAUUUGUGAGAGCCAGGAAAAGAAAGAAAAUGCAGUUGCUAGAAAAUAGAGUAUAUAUGUAUAAAGCAAUGCAUGACAGAUUACAUUUUUGCAUUUGUUGUCAUUAUUUUCAAUUUCAACUAAGGUGACAUUUUAGUUACGCUUGGGUUGUAACAAAUUUCAAGUCAGUAACAAAUUUCACUGUUUAGCCUGAAAAAGAGUCAGGAUAUGGACUACAGGCAGCUUGGCUUGCUGCUGCUGUUGAAUGUUGCAAAUCCGUAAUCAUAUUAAUAGUUCUGACCCAGUUAAAAACUCAUAACGAAUCAUCACGAGUUUUGCCUAUAUGAGUGUAUAAGCACCAGACGACACUGAGCCCACGGCAUCCUUUCACAAGUGUGCCUCCCAUAUCUUCCACAAGAACUGGCCAGCAGAAUUGAUCCUCCCGAGUUUCAGUUCAACUGUGGAAAUUAAAUACAUUGUCAUAGAGAUUUCCCCUGAUUUGACUAAAUGUUGUUUAUCCCAGCUUCUUCUUGCAAGCAGUUUAUCAAAAUAAAGUGCUCAGCAAUCUUUUAAUUCAGAAGCUGCAUCUCAAGGUCAACAAACCUCCAUGUGCUCUAGGGCAAAUAAUAAUGAAAAUUCCAGGUUUAACAACAUCAUUUUAAUGGCAAAAUACUUAUUUUAUCCUUCUCAAUUGCAUUUAAGCCACAGGCUUUCUAUUAUGAUUAUUUAUGGUUAUCAUUUUGGCUGCUCUGAGCAGCAGUGUCUUGGCUUAGUUGUCUUCUCUGCUCUGAAUGAAAAAUGAAGUUUGAAAGAAUGUUCAUUACCUUCACGGCAUGUGUUGACUGCACUGAUUCUUCAUCUGCCAAAGUGUGUGUGCUGGCUUCUGUCUCAUCUGGAGACCUCUGGAACUAAAAGUAAUUGAUCAAAUUAAUUCUAAUAUAAUCCCACACAGACCUUGCUACCAUUGCAGCUUGUUAACCUUAUAUGCAAACAGUUUAUUUAAACUAUCUGGAUGACAUCAUGAAAACUGCCUUCAAUACAUCAAAAAAAGUAUGAAAUGAAAGCUGUUUCAACAUUUUUUCCAAGAUAGGACUUGGUUUUCGUUACUUUUUUCUAAAAAAAGAAAAUUUGAAACCUGAAUACUUAUUGAAUUAAUUUCAAUUCAGUUGGCCAUACCUCCCAAAUUACUGUAUUUUCCCCCCACUCCUUAAAAAGCCCUACAACUUUCAAAUCGAGUUCACCAUAGUAGCUUUGUAGGUAGUACUAAGUAGCAAGUGAAGGAUCCUAGUAGCAAUUUUCUGAGCUGUGUGCUCUCUUUUCCUUCAUGCUGAUGAUUCUCAUUCCUGCAUCUUGUGGACCUUUACAUCUAAAUCAAGUCACUGACAGAUUUCUGUCAUCCCUUAUGGACUCCACUUCACCUAUUGCCUCUCUAGAACAGCUACAGAUUUUGGUUAUGCAAAACAUUAAAGCAUUUCUAAUAAACUCCUUUACAGUUUUUUCCA